rnacentral:rRNA from 1 species
GACGAACGCUGGCGGCGUGCUUAACACAUGCGAGUCGAACGGAAAGGCCCUGCUUUUGUGGGGUGCUCGAGUGGCGAACGGGUGAGUAACACGUGAGUAACCUGCCCUUGACUUUGGGAUAACUUCAGGAAACUGGGGCUAAUACCGGAUAGGAGCUCCUGCUGCAUGGUGGGGGUUGGAAAGUUUCGGCGGUUGGGGAUGGACUCGCGGCUUAUCAGCUUGUUGGUGGGGUAGUGGCCUACCAAGGCUUUGACGGGUAGCCGGCCUGAGAGGGUGACCGGCCACAUUGGGACUGAGAUACGGCCCAGACUCCUACGGGAGGCAGCAGUGGGGAAUAUUGCACAAUGGGCGGAAGCCUGAUGCAGCAACGCCGCGUGCGGGAUGACGGCCUUCGGGUUGUAAACCGCUUUCGCCUGUGACGAAGCGUGAGUGACGGUAAUGGGUAAAGAAGCACCGGCUAACUACGUG